rnacentral:misc_RNA from 1 species
AAAGUCGUAACAAGGUUUCCGUAGGUGAACCUGCGGAAGGAUCAUUACUGGCGGUCGGGUCUUUGGCCCGAACCCUCAACCCUAUGUCUACCUUCUCUGUUGCUUCGGCGGGCCCGUGGGGAGACCCACCGCCGGCUUCGGCCGGCCUGUGCCCGUCAGAGGACCUUCAAACUCGAUCAAUGUGUCGUCUGAGUGUCAUACAAUAGUUAAAACUUUCAACAACGGAUCUCUUGGUUCCG